ACGGGUGAGGAACACGUGAAGAAUCUGCCCUCCACUUUGGGAUAACACCGGGAAACCGAUGCUAAUACCGAAUAUUGAAACAUAAGUGGCAUCACUGAGUUUUGAAAGAAUUUUGGUGGAGGAUGACUUCGCGGCCUAUCAGCUAGUUGGUGAGGUAAUGGCUCACCAAGGCAACGACGGGUAGCCGGCCUGAGAGGGCGACCGGCCACACUGGGACUGAGACACGGCCCAGACUCCUACGGGAGGCAGCAGUGGGGAAUCUUGCGCAAUGGGCGAAAGCCUGACGCAGCAACGCCGCGUGCGGGAUGAAGGCUUUCGGGCUGUAAACCGCUUUCAGCAGGAACGAAACUGACGGUACCUGCAGAAGAAGGAGCGGCCAACUACGUGCCAGCAGCCGCGGUGACACGUAGGCUCCAAGCGUUGUCCGGAUUUAUUGGGCGUAAAGAGCUCGUAGGCGGUUGAGUAAGUCGGGUGUGAAAACUUUGGGCUUAACCCGGAGACGCCACUCGAUACUGCUCUGACUUGAGUUCAGGAGGGGAGUGGGGAAUUCCUAGUGUAGCGGUGAAAUGCGCAGAUAUUAGGAGGAACACCGGUGGCGAAGGCGCCACUCUGGACUGAAACUGACGCUGAGGAGCGAAAGCAUGGGUAGCAAACAGGAUUAGAUA
rnacentral:rRNA from 1 species